rnacentral:rRNA from 1 species
GACAGAGGAUGCAAGCGUUAUCUGGAAUGAUUGGGCGUAAGGCGUCUGUAGGUGGCUUUUCAAGUCCGCCGUCCAAUCCCAGGGCUCAACCCUGGACAGGCGGUGGAAACUACCAAGCUGGAGUACGGUAGGGGCAGAGGGAAUUUCCGGUGGAGCGGUGAAAUGCGUAGAGAUCGGAAAGAACACCAACGGCGAAAGCACCCUGCUGGGCCGACACUGACACUGAGAGACGAAAGCUAGGGGAGCGAAUGGG